AGCCUUUUCACCAACCAUUACCCACCUUACACAUGCAAGUAUCUGCACACCCGUGAGAACGCCCUCCCCCCUCACUCAGGAAGAGGAGCUGGUAUCAGGCACAUACUAAGCCCACAACACCUAGCUACGCCACACCCAUAAGGGUACUCAGCAGUGAUAUACAUUGAUUAUAAGCGCCAGCUUGAAUCAGCCCGGGUAAAUAGAGCCGGCAAAUCCGGUGCCAGCCGCCGCGGCUACACCGUUAGGCCCAAGUUGAUGUACUCCGGCGUUAAGCGUGGUUAAAGUCAUAUUCCUCAUUUAGAACCAAACUUCAACCAAGUUGUAACACACCUGUCCCUUGAAACUCAAAACGAAAGUUGUUCUAACCAAUCCACUUGACGCCACGACAAUUAGAGCACAAACUGGGAUUAGAUACCCCACUAUGUCUAACUGUAAAAUAUUCACUUACACCAGAACCGCCCAGGAAUUACGAGCUAAAAACUUAAAACCCAAAGGACUUGACGGUGUCCCACCUACCUAGAGGAGCCUGUUCUGUAAUCGAUUUCCCCCGAUAAACCUCACCACUUCUAGCCCUCAGCCUGUAUACCUCCGUCGUAAGCUUACCAUGUGAACGAACCCAGUGAGCCCAAAGGCUUUCCCGCCCAUACGUCAGGUCAAGGUGCAGCUAACGAAUUGGGAAGAAAUGGGCUACAAUCUCUACCUUAGAACAAACGAAAGACUACAUGAAAUACAGUCACUGAAGGCGGAUUUAGUAGUAAAAAGAAAAUAGAGAGUUCUUUUUAAUUAGGCACUGGGACGCGUACACACCGCCCGUCACCCUC
rnacentral:ncRNA from 1 species